CACCUACGGGACGCAGCAGUAGGGAAUCUUUCACAAUGGGCGAAAGCCUGAUGGAGCAACGCCGCGUGCAGGAUGAAGGCCUUCGGGUUGUAAACUGCUUUUAUAAGCGAGAAAUAUGAUGGUAACUUAUGAAUAAGCAUCGGCUAACUCCGUGCCAGCAGCCGCGGUAAUACGGAGGAUGCGAGCGUUAUCCGGAUUUAUUGGGUUUAAAGGGUGCGCAGGCGGAAGAUCAAGUCAGCGGUAAAAUUGAGAGGCUCAACCUCUUCGAGCCGUUGAAACUGGUUUUCUUGAGUGAGCGAG
rnacentral:rRNA from 1 species